rnacentral:rRNA from 1 species
GAUGAACGCUAGCUACAGGCUUAACACAUGCAAGUCGAGGGGAAACGAUAUUGGAAGCUUGCUUCCGAUAGGCGUCGACCGGCGCACGGGUGAGUAACGCGUAUCCAACCUGCCCACCACUUGGGGAUAACCUUGCGAAAGUAAGACUAAUAUCCAAUGACGUCUCUAGAAGACAUCUGAAAGAGAUUAUAGAUUUAUCGGUGAUGGAUGGGGAUGGGUCUGAUUAGCUUGUUGGCGGGGUAACGGCCCAACAAGGCUACGAUCAGUAGGGGUUCUUGGAGCAAGGUCCACCACAAUGGAACUAAGACACUGGCCAAACUCCGGCGGGAGGCAGCAGUGAGGAGUAAUGGUCAAUGGGCGAGAGCCUGAACCAGCCAAGUAGCGUGCAGGAUGACGGCCCUAUGGGUUGUAAACUGCUUUUAUAAGGGAAUAAGGUGAGUAUCGUGAGACUUUUUGCAUGUACCUUAUGAAUAAGGACCGGCUAAUUCCGUGCCAGCAGCCGCCGUAA